CCUACGGGUGGCUGCAGUGAGGAAUAUUGGUCAAUGGACGCAAGUCUGAACCAGCCAUGUCGCGUGCAGGAUGACUGCCCCACGGGUUGUAAACUUCUUUUGUAAAAGGGUAAACCUGAAUACGUGUAUUCAGCUGAAUGUACUUUACGAAUAAGGAUCGGCUAACUCCGUGCCAGCAGCCGCGGUAAUACGGAGGAUCCAAGCGUUAUCCGGAUUUAUUGGGUUUAAAGGGUGCGUAGGUGGGUUGUUAAGUCAGGUGUGAAAGGUCCGAGCUUAACUGGGGAAUUGCAUCUAAUACUGUUGAUCUAGAGAGCAGAUGCGGUAGGCGGAAUGUAUGGUGUAGCGGUGAAAUGCUUAGAGAUCAUACAGAACACCGAUUGCGAAGGCAGCUUACCAAGCUAUAUCUGACGUUGAGGCACGAAAGCGUGGGGAGCAAACAGGAUUAGAGACCCUUGUAGUC
rnacentral:rRNA from 1 species